AUACCGCAUAAAACUCUGAAGCAAAUGCUUUCAGAGUCAAAGCCUUUCGAGGCGCUUGGGGAUGAGCUUGCGCCCUAUUAGCUAGUUGGUGGGGUAAUGGCCUACCAAGGUAAUGAUGGGUAGCCGGCCUGAGAGGGUGUACGGCCACACUGGAACUGCGACACGGUCCAGACUCCUACGGGAGGCAGCAGUGGGGAAUUUUGCGCAAUGGGCGAAAGCCUGACGCAGCGACGCCGCGUGGAGGAUUAAGGCCUUCGGGUUGUAAACUCCUGUCAGAGGUGAAGAAUGCCCCCCUCGGGGGGUUUGACGGUAACCUCAGAGGAAGCCCCGGCUAACUACGUGCCAGCAGCCGCGGUAAUACGUAGGGGGCGAACGUUGCUCGGAAUUACUGGGCGUAAAGGGUGUGUAGGUGGCUGAGCAAGUCGUUGAUGAAAUCCCGAGGCUCACCCUCGGAACUGUCUUCGAAACUGCUCAGCUUGAGGAUAGUUGAGGAGAACGGAAUUCCCGGUGGAGCGGUGAAAUGCGUAGAUAUCGGGAGGAAUACCAGAGGCGAAGGCGGUUCUCUGGGCUAUUCCUGACACUGAAACACGAAAGCUAGGGGAGCAAACGGGAUUAGAUACCCCGGUAGUCCUAGCCGUAAACGAUGGGCACUAGAUGUUUCUACUUUGAUGUAGGGGUGUCGAAGCUAACGCGUUAAGUGCCCCGCCUGGGGAGUACGGUCGCAAGGCCGAAACUCAAAGGAAUUGACGGGGGCCCGCACAAGCGGUGGAGCAUGUGGUUUAAUUCGACGCAACGCGGAA
rnacentral:rRNA from 1 species